CGAGCGGAACGAUGGUAGCUUGCUACCAGGCGUACGAGCGGCGGACGGGUGAGUAAUGCUUAGGAAUCUGCCCAGUAGUGGGGGAUAGCCCGGGGAAACCCGGAUUAAUACCGCAUACGCCCUUUUGGGGAAAGCAGGGGAUCUUCGGACCUUGCGCUAUUGGAUGAGCCUAAGUCGGAUUAGCUAGUUGGUGGGGUAAAGGCUCACCAAGGCGACGAUCCGUAGCUGGUCUGAGAGGAUGAUCAGCCACAUCGGGACUGAGACACGGCCCGAACUCCUACGGGAGGCAGCAGUGGGGAAUAUUGGACAAUGGGGGCAACCCUGAUCCAGCCAUGCCGCGUGUGUGAAGAAGGCUUUCGGGUUGUAAAGCACUUUCAGUGAGGAGGAAGGCCUUAAGAUUAAUACUCUUAAGGAUUGACGUCACUCACAGAAGAAGCACCGGCUAACUCCGUGCCAGCAGCCGCGGUAAUACGGAGGGUGCAAGCGUUAAUCGGAAUUACUGGGCGUAAAGCGCGCGUAGGUGGUUGAGUAAGCGAGAUGUGAAAGCCCCGGG
rnacentral:rRNA from 1 species